rnacentral:rRNA from 1 species
AUUAGUUAGUUGGCAGGGUAAAGGCCUACCAAGACUAUGAUGUGUAGCUGGACUGAGAGGUUGAACAGCCACAUUGGGACUGAGACACGGCCCAAACUCCUACGGGAGGCAGCAGUAGGGAAUUUUCGGCAAUGGAGGAAACUCUGACCGAGCAACGCCGCGUGAACGAUGAAGUACCUCGGUAUGUAAAGUUCUUUUAUUAAGGAAGAAAAAAGAGUGGAAAAACUCCGUUGACGGUACUUAAUGAAUAAGCCCCGGCUAAUUAUGUGCCAGCAGCCGCGGUAAUACAUAAGGGGCGAGCGUUAUCCGGAAUUAUUGGGCGUAAAGGGUGCGUAGGCGGUUUAAUAAGUCUAUAGUUUAAUUUCAGUGCUUAACGCUGUUGUGCUAUAGAAACUGUUUUACUAGAGUGAGUUAGAGGCAAGCGGAAUUCCAUGUGUAGCGGUAAAAUGCGUAAAUAUAUGGAGGAACACCAGAGGCGUAGGCGGCUUGCUGGGACUUUACUGACGCUGAGGCACGAAAGCGUGGGGAGCAAACAGGAUUAGAUACCCUGGUAGUCCACGCCGUAAACGAUGAGUACUAAGUGUCGGGUAAAACCGGUACUGAAGUUAACACAUUAAGUACUCCGCCUGAGUAGUACGUACGCAAGUAUGAAACUUAAAGGAAUUGACGGGAUUCCGCACAAGCGGUGGAUCAUGUUGUUUAAUUCGAAGAUACACGAAAAACCUUACCAGGUCUUGACAUUUUCUUGCGAAGUUAUAGAAAUAUAAUGGAGGUUAUCAGGAAAACAGGUGGUGCAUGGUUGUCGUCAGCUCGUGUCGUGAGAUGUUAGGUUAAGUCCUAAAACGAGCGCAACCCUUGUCGUUAAUUGCCAGCAUGUAAUGAUGGGGACUUUAACGAGACUGCCAAUGAAAAAUUGGAGGAAGGUGGGGAUUACGUCAAAUCAUCAUGCCCCUUAUGAUCUGGGCUACAAACGUGAUACAAUGGUUGAUACAAAGAGUAGCUGAAACGCGAGUUAU